rnacentral:rRNA from 1 species
UGUAAGCGUAUACCAAAGUUGUUGCAGUUAAAACUCUCGUAGUCGGAAUUUGGCAGUUCCGGAUGUGUGCACGUCGUGUGCGCACUUCGCGGGGAUUGCUUUUGUGGUCUUGCGUAGGAUGAGGCACUUUUAUUAGUGAACGUCCUCACGCAACCACUUUUUACUGUGAGAAAAUCAGAGUGCUCAAAGCAGGCAUUUGCCGUGAAUGUAUUAGCAUGGAAUAAUAGAAUAGGACUUGGUUCUAUUUUGUUGGUUUGUUGGGACUGAGUAAUGAUUAAGAGGGACAGUUGGGGGCAUUUGUAUUUCGGUGCUAGAGGUGAAAUUCUUAGAUUACCGAAAGACAAACUGCUGCGAAAGCGUCUGCCAAGGACGUUUUCAUUGA